rnacentral:piRNA from 2 species
UUAAAAGGGAAACUGUUGCCAACAAGGCGUA